rnacentral:rRNA from 1 species
AGGAAUAUUGGUCAAUGGACGAGAGUCUGAACCAGCCAAGUAGCGUGAAGGAUGACUGCCCUAUGGGUUGUAAACUUCUUUUAUACGGGAAUAAAGUGAGGCACGUGUGCCUUUUUGUAUGUACCGUAUGAAUAAGGAUCGGCUAACUCCGUGCCAGCAGCCGCGGUAAUACGGAGGAUCCGAGCGUUAUCCGGAUUUAUUGGGUUUAAAGGGAGCGUAGGCGGACGCUUAAGCCAGUUGUGAAAGUUUGCGGCUCAACCGUAAAAUUGCAAUUGAUACUGGGUGUCUUGAGUACAGUAGAGGCAGGCGGAAUUCGUGGUGUAGCGGUGAAAUGCUUAGAUAUCACGAAGAACUCCGAUUGCGAAGGCAGCUUGCUGGACUGUAACUGACGCUGAUGCUCGAAAGUGUGGGUAUCAAACAGGAUUAGAUACCCUGGUAGUCCACACAGUAAACGAUGAAUACUCGCUGUUUGCGAUAUACAGUAAGCGGCCAAGCGAAAACGUUAAGUAUUCCACCUGGGGAGUACGCCGGCAACGGUGAAACUCAAAGGAAUUGACGGGGGCCCGCACAAGCGGAGGAACAUGUGGUUUAAUUCGAUGAUACGCGAGGAACCUUACCCGGGCUUGAAUUGCAACUGAAUGAUGUGGAGACAUGUCAGCCGCAAGGCAGUUGUGAAGGUGCUGCAUGGUUGUCGUCAGCUCGUGCCGUGAGGUGUCGGCUUAAGUGCCAUAACGAGCGCAACCCUUAUCGAUAGUUACCAUCAGGUUAUGCUGGGGACUCUGUCGAGACUGCCGUCGUAAGAUGUGAGGAAGGUGGGGAUGACGUCAAAUCAGCACGGCCCUUACGUCCGGGGCUACACACGUGUUACAAUGGGGGGUACAGAAGGCAGCUACACGGCGACGUGAUGCUAAUCCCUAAAGCCUCUCUCAGUUCGGAUUGGAGUCUGCAACCCGACUCCAUGAAGCUGGAUUCGCUAGUAAUCGCGCAUCAGCCACGGCGCGGUGAAUACGUUCCCG